AGGAGAAACGUGAGGUUGUUGUUGAGAAGAACACCAAGCUGGAGUAGCAGAUGAUUGCACUAUCCACCUCUUUCCUGUCUCAAGGUAAGUGUCCAUUUAUCCAGCCUUGUAUGUGACUAUGGCAGCGGUUUCUUCGACUUUGUGGGUUGGGGGCAGGAGGCAAUCUCGUUGAUGGCAGCGCGUGAG